UGGGGAAUAUUGGACAAUGGGCGAAAGCCUGAUCCAGCCAUGCCGCGUGUGUGAAGAAGGUCUUCGGAUUGUAAAGCACUUUAAGUUGGGAGGAAGGGCAGUAAGCGAAUACCUUGCUGUUUUGACGUUACCGACAGAAUAAGCACCGGCUAACUCUGUGCCAGCAGCCGCGGUAAUACAGUGGGUGCAAGCGUUAAUCGGAAUUACUGGGCGUAAAGCGCGCGUAGGUGGUUCGUUAAGUUGAAUGUGAAAGCCCCGGGCUCAACCUGGGAACUGCAUCCGAAACUGGCGAGCUAGAGUAGGGCAGAGGGUGGUGGAAUUUCCUGUGUAGCGGUGAAAUGCGUAGAUAUAGGAAGGAACACCAGUGGCGAAGGCGACCACCUGGGCUCAUACUGACACUGAGGUGCGAAAGCGUGGGGAGCAAACAGG
rnacentral:rRNA from 1 species